GACGAACGCUGGCGGCAAGCUUAACACAUGCAAGUCGAACGCCGUAGCAAUACGGAGUGGCAGACGGGUGAGUAACACGUGGGAACGUGCCUUUCGGUUCGGAACAACUGAGGGAAACUUCAGCUAAAACCGGAUACGCCCUUCGGGGGAAAGUUUACGCCGAAAGAUCGGCCCGCGUCAGAUUAGGUAGUUGGCGGGGUAAUGGCCCACCAAGCCGAUGAUCUGUAGCUGUUCUGAGAGGAAGAUCAGCCACACUGGGACUGAGACACGGCCCAGACUCCUACGGGAGGCAGCAGUGGGGAAUAUUGGACAAGGGGCGCAAGCCUGAUCCAGCUAUGCCGCGUGGAUGAAGAAGGCCUUCGGGUUGUAAAGUCCUUUCGGCGGGGGAGAUAAUGACGGUACCCGCAGAAGAAGCCCCGGCUAAUUUCGUGCCAGCCGCCGCAGUAAUAC
rnacentral:rRNA from 1 species